rnacentral:rRNA from 1 species
AUUGAACGCUGGCGGCAGGCCUAACACAUGCAAGUCGAGCGGAUGACGGGAGCUUGCUCCUUGAUUCAGCGGCGGACGGGUGAGUAAUGCCUAGGAAUCUGCCUGGUAGUGGGGGACAACGUUUCGAAAGGAACGCUAAUACCGCAUACGUCCUACGGGAGAAAGCAGGGGACCUUCGGGCCUUGCGCUAUCAGAUGAGACUAGGUCGGAUUAGCUUGUUGGUGAGGUAAUGGCUCACCAAGGCGACGAUCCGUAACUGGUCUGAGAGGAUGAUCAGUCACACUGGAACUGAGACACGGUCCAGACUCCUACGGGAGGCAGCAGUGGGGAAUAUUGGACAAUGGGCGAAAGCCUGAUCCAGCCAUGCCGCGUGUGUGAAGAAGGUCUUCAGAUUGUAAAGCACUUUAAGUUGGGAGGAAGGGUUGUAGAUUAAUACUCUGCAAUUUUGACGUUACCGACAGAAUAAGCACCGGCUAACUCUGUGCCAGCCGCCGCAGUAACAC